UGUUAGGUUGGUGCAAAAGUAAUUGUGGGUUUUGCCAUUACUUUCAAUGGCAAAAAUGACAAUUACUUUUGCACCAACCUAAUAUAU
ensembl:miRNA